GCGGGUGUAGCUCAGUGGUAGAGCUCCAGCCUUCCAAGCUGGCUACGCGGGUUCGAUUCCCGUCACCCGCUCCA
rnacentral:tRNA from 1 species